GCCAGCCCAUCAACCCGCACUCCCGCAUCUACCCCGAGGAGAUGAUUCAGACGGGCAUUUCUCCUAUUGACGUCAUGAACAGCAUUGCCCGCGGCCAGAAGAUCCCCAUCUUCUCAGCAGCCGGGCUCCCCCACAAUGAGAUUGCCGCUCAGAUCUGCCGCCAGGCGGGUCUGGUGAAGAAGUCCAAGGCUGUGCUGGAUUACCAUGACGACAACUUCGCCAUCGUCUUUGCAGCCAUGGGGGUGAACAUGGAGACAGCCAGAUUCUUCAAGUCUGACUUUGAGCAGAAUGGAACCAUGGGGAACGUCUGCCUCUUUCUGAACUUGGCCAACGACCCCACGUGAGCUUUCCCUGAUGCCCAAACUGCCCUCAGGUGGGCAGACCCCGUCCCCUUCCAAGACCUACAGUAUCAGGGCUCCAGGGCAUCCCAGAACUACAGCCAUAGGCCAGAGCUGGGAGAACAACCC
rnacentral:sRNA from 1 species